rnacentral:misc_RNA from 1 species
GUAAAGACAUCGCGCAGAUCCGUCGCCUCCAGAAAACGCCGACAAAAAAAAAACGUCGCAAAAAAAAGCCCGGCACUUUUUUUACGUGUUUUUUUAUUAUCGAUAACGCUAUCAAUGAUAACGCGUUACAGUGACGUGGGAGCUGUCUCGCUCCCUCGAAGCUUUUUUUGACUGCUGUGUUUUUUAGUGAUGUGCGUGCAGUGAUCGUGUUUGUUUUAUAUAGUGAAGAUGCUGGAAAAUAUAACCGCGGACAUAACAGUAUGGGACUACAAACUAAAAAAUAUUAUUAUUAUAUCAAAUCUCAGAUGUACUUAGUGCAAUAUACUUAUUUUUAUUAAUUAUUUACUAAUAACACUUAAAACAACAAACUUAAUACAUUUUUUUUUCUUAAUUAUUGUAAAAGUGUAAAUCAAAUUAUAAAUGUAAUUAGAAAAGUGACCGUGCAAAGUGUGACAACAAUGACUUGAACUGUGACAUGAAUUGACAUAAGCGUGACAGUAAACGCAGAAGUGUUUGUUAUAAUUGUAGUGUUUUCAAGUGUUUGUGACAAAAUGCGGUAUUUAUGAGUGACUGUUGCGAACAGAGCUGCGGGAUGUACACCACGUGGUACAGCCGGGGGGAGGGUAUGCACCAUCAUCAGAUGGGGCAGCUGUACCAUGGGGCCCCCAUGAUAAAGACUGAAGCGGGGGUGAACAGUGAUUGUAUGAUGGCGGUGGACUACGCACCACCUAUUAAGAAGGCGGGUGCGUCAUCGGCGUUCGUGUGGAGCGGCGG